rnacentral:snRNA from 1 species
AGCUUUGCGCAGUGGCAGUAUCGUAGCCAAUGAGGUUUAUCCAAGGCGCGAUCAUUGCUAAUUGAAAACUGCUUAUUUUACUCAUUGGUGGUAGAAAUUAAUUUUUUCAAAGACUGUUUACAUAAGUGACAAUUUUUGCUGAGUUCACUCUAAUGG